GUUUGGAUCAGUAAAUUCUAGUAACCCAAACGAAGACAAUUAGUGACAGCAGUGGCCCUUAUUGUUUUGGUGAAUAAUGUUGCUCCAAACUCCAAUAAGCUUCCCAUUGCCAGUGCGAGGGGGAUGGAAAGUUGUGCUACUUAUUCUACAUCAGCACUGCUUUUCAUAAUUUUGGAGGUCCUCUCCUGCUGUGCAACUACUGCAAACACAGGUGAACAUGUGGCUCACACCACAUCAUCCUGUGAAGAAAUGUACCUGAUAAAUGGACACAUAAUGCUCUAUGUUCAGACGUGUCCGGAGUUUCUUCCUUCUGAUGCGUUCAUCGUCUCACUGACUUCAGAAGUGAAGCUGCAGACCUUCACGGUGAGUGUUACAGUUCUUAAAGACAGUGUCCUGAGUUUGUUCUUUCAGAUGUUCAGAUGUGUCUGGAGUUUCUUUCCUCUGGUGGGUUCCUGGUUUAGCUGACUUCAGGAGUGAAGCUGCAGACCUUUGCAGUGACUGUUACAGCUCUCAAAGGCAAGAAGUUGUUCCGAUCCCCCCAGUGGGUUCAUGGUCCUGCUGGCUUCAGAAGUGAAGCUGCAGACCUUUACAGUGACUGCUACAGGCAGUGCAAACCCACAGUGAGCAGCAGCGAAAUUUAUUGAGAAGAGCAAAAGAACAAAUCUUCCACAGGAGGGAAGAAGACCCAAGGAAUUGCCGCUACUGGCUCAGGCAGCCUGCUUUUAUUCCCUUAUCUGGCCCCACCCAUAUCCUGCUGAUUGGUCCAUUUUACAGAGAUCUGAUUGGUCCAUUUUACAGAGAUCUGAUUGGUCCGUUUUACAGAGUGCUGAUUGGUGCGUUUACAAUCCCUGAGCUAGACACAGAGUGCUGACUGGUGCAUUUACAAUCCUCUAGCUAGACAUAAAAGUUCCCCUGAGUCCCCACCAGAUUAGCUAGGUACAGAGUGCUGACUGGUGCAUAGGCAAACCCCGAGCUAGACACAGAGUGCUGAUUGGUGCAUAUACCAUCCUCCAGCUAGACAUAAAAGUUCUCCAAGUCCCCACCCAAUUCAGGAGUCCCCCUGGCUUUGCCUAGUGGAUCCUGCGCUGGGGCCGCAGGCGGAGCUGCCCGUCAGACCCACGCUGCAUGCCUGCACUCCUCACCCCUUGGGCAGUCAGUGUGACCGGGUGCAACAGAGCAGGGGGCAGUGCCCAUCCAGGGAGGCUCGGGCCACGUGGGAGCCCAUGGUGGGGUGGGCUCGGGCAUGGUGGGCUGCAGGUCCCGAGCCCUGCCCUUGGGGAGGCGGCUGAGGCCUGAGGAGAAUUCAAACGCAGGCAGGCGGGCCGGCAGUGCUGGGGGACCCGGCACCCUCUGCAGCUGCUGGCCCGGGUGCUAAGCCCCUCCCUUCCCGGGGCUAGCAGCCCUGGCCGGCCACUCGGAGUGCAGGGCCCGCUGAGCCCGUGCCCACUUGGAACUCACACUGGCCCAGGAGCACCGUGCGCAGCACCAGUUCCUGCCUGCGCCUCUCCCUCCACACCUCCUUGCAAGCAGAGGGAGCAGGCUCCAGCCACAGCGAGCGAGGGGCUCCCAUCAUGCAGCGGCGGACUGAAGUGCUUUUUAAACGCAGCCAGAGUGGAUGCUGAGGCGGAGGAGGUGCCGAGAGUGAGCAAAGGCUGCUAGCACGUUGCCACCUCGCAGUUGCAGUGAGCCGAGAUUUCACCACUGCACUCCAGCCAGGGUGACAGAGUGGGACUGUGUCUCAAAAAAUAAAAAUAAAAAAAAAAAGAUUUCAAACUCUGAUGCUGGUAAUUGUCUUUCUUUUCUUUUUUUAUUUUUUUAUUACUGUUACUAUAUUUUUAGAUGAAGUCUUGCUCGGUCACCCAGGCUGGAGUACAGUGACACGAUCUCAGCUGAAUGCAACCUCUGCCUCCCAGGUUCAAGUGAUUGUCCUGCCUCAGCCUCCUGAGUAGCUGGAAUUUCAGGCACAUGCCACCAGGCCUGGCUAAUUUUUGUAUUUUUUAGUAGGGGCGGAGUUUUUUCAUGUUGGCCAGACUGGUCUAUGGACUCCUAACCUUAAGUGAUCCACCUGCUUUGGUAUCCCAGAGUGCUGUGAUUACAGGCAUGAGCCACCACG
rnacentral:lncRNA from 1 species